rnacentral:rRNA from 1 species
UACGUAGGGCGCAAGCGUUGUCCGGAAUUAUUGGGCGUAAAGAGCUCGUAGGCGGCUUGUCACGUCGGGUGUGAAAGCCCGGGGCUUAACCCCGGGUCUGCAUUCGAUACGGGCUAGCUAGAGUGUGGUAGGGGAGAUCGGAAUUCCUGGUGUAGCGGUGAAAUGCGCAGAUAUCAGGAGGAACACCGGUGGCGAAGGCGGAUCUCUGGGCCAUUACUGACGCUGAGACGCGAAAGCGUGGGGAGCGAACAGG